GACAGAGGGGGCAAGCGUUGCUCGGAAUUACUGGGCGUAAAGGGCGCGUAGGCGGGAUGGCAAGUCGGUCGUGAAAUCCCUCGGCUCAACUGAGGAUCGUCGAUCGAUACUGCCGUUCUUGAGGGAUGCAGAGGAGAUUGGAAUUCCCGGUGUAGCGGUGAAAUGUGUAGAGAUCGGGAGGAACACCGGUGGCGAAGGCGGGUCUCUGGGCAUCUCCUGACGCUGAGGCGCGAAAGCGUGGGGAGCAAACGGG
rnacentral:rRNA from 1 species